GUGCUUGCUUCGGCAGCACAUAUAUUAAAAUUGGAAUGAUACAGAGAAGAAUUAGCAAGGCCCCUGCACAAAAGGGUGACAUAAAAAUUCAUGAAGCAUUCCAUAUUUUU